rnacentral:rRNA from 1 species
UGAGGAAUAUUGCUCAAUGGGCGAAAGCCUGAAGCAGCAACGCCGUGUGCGCGAUGAAGGUCUUCGGAUCGUAAAGCGCUUUUGAGAGGGACGAGAUAGGACGGUACCUCUUGAAUAAGUCACGGCUAACUACGUGCCAGCAGCCGCGGUAAAACGUAGGUGGCAAGCGUUAUCCGGAUUCACUGGGCGUAAAGCGCGUGCAGGUGGCUUCGUAAGUUGGACGUUAAAUCUUUCGGCCUAACCGGGAGGUGUCGUUCAAUACUGCGGGGCUUGAGGGUAGAAGAGGGGGGUGGAAUUGCCGGUGUAGUGGUGAAAUGCGUAGAUAUCGGCAGGAACACCUGUGGCGAAAGCGGCCCCCUGGUCUGCUCCUGACACUCAGACGCGAAAGCUAGGGGAGUGAACG